GGGGAUUCUCGCCACAGAGUGUCUUUGGUUAGCACGUGUGCCUAGAAUUUUCUACUGUUUUCUGUGUUUUUGUGACCUUUUGUGACUUAAUUUUGUGUCUGUGUGUUGUCCCUGUGUUUGUUAUCGGUGGUGUAUUGUUAUUUGGUGCCGUCCUACUAACACGUUAAGUUACACAAGUUUGACUUCAAGAUCAAUUUAAUUUUAUCCUUUGCCAAUCACAAGCACUACUUGCUUCUCAUCCCACUUGUCAUUGGCAGAAUCGUCGACGUAUGCAUCGACAUGGAUUGCCAUAAAUAAAAAUAGAAUAGAAUAGAAUAGAUUAUAUGUUUAUUUAUCUCUAAGCUCGAUGAUUUAUCUAAAUACGAGAAUCGAGAUUUCAAAGCUUCAAAUGGCUUUAAGCGGUCAAGUGGACUUUAAAAAAGUUGUACCCAUAGCCAACGGCAUUCUACUUGUCCUGUGUUUUAGUUUGGUUCCAAAACUAUCGAAAUAUCUCGCAACGCACUGCCUUCGUUGAGUCAGCUGGAAGAUCUAGUAAGCUUUUUGGAAAGCAAACCAUGUUUGAUUAUGAUGGGCCAUGCUCGUACUGCGAAUGCGAGCAUGCAUGAUCCGAAAACAACAGCCCCAAACAGUGACGUAGUGGGUGUAUGAAAAUAUUGGAGCAGUGGUGUAAGUACUGGAAAGACAAAAAGGAGCAGUUCAGAGGAAGUCCAGUUCUAUUGCAGCUGCGAGGCAACAUGAAGAAUUUGCCAGAACUUGUGUAAUUGAGUUAAUAAUACACUCCAUUAUGCGAGGGGAAUGUUUUGGAAUCUGAAUUUAGAUAAAUAAACCCAUGUUCAUUAUAAAAUACAAAAUAAUAAAAAGACAUGUUGAAUUAAAA